rnacentral:rRNA from 1 species
GACGAACGCUGGCGGCGUGCUUAACACAUGCAAGUCGAACGAAGUGGCGAAAGGGUGAGUAACGCGUAAUCAACCUGCCCUUCAGAGGGGGACAACAGGUGGAAACGACUGCUAAUACCGCAUAAUGAAGGAGGGGAUUGCGUCGGAUUAGCUGGUUGGAGGGGUAACGCCCCACCAAGGCGAUGAUCAGUAGCCGGUCGGAGAGGAUGAACGGCCACAGUGGGACUGGGACACGGCCCAGACUCCUACGGGAGGCAGCAGUGGGGAAUCGUCCGAAAUGGACGAAAGUCUGACGGAUCAACGCCGCGUGAGUGAUGACGGCCUUCGGGUUGUAAAGCUCUGUUAAUCGGGACGCGGUACCGGAAUAGAAAGCCACGGCUAACUACGUGCCAGCAGCCGCGGUAAUUC